GAGGACAGAGUUACAGGCACCCAGGCCCUUAAGCCCCAACCAGACGAUUGCCCCAGGAAUGAGUGAAGAUGGAGGGGUUCAGCAAGGCCCCCCUGCCACCCCAGACUCACACAUGUAGAUUCUGGCCCCAGUCUCGUAAG
rfam:Oryctolagus cuniculus cont2.13348, whole genome shotgun sequence.